CUAAACUCUUUUAAAGGGUGGAGUUACAAUGCCGUUCCUCUCUGUAGGCAUUGCAGCUCAUUGAGAAACACCUAUAAUUAUGUGGCACAGUCAGUGACACUUUCAGACAAUACAAAGCAGUGCGCUGGAGGGCUCAUGUGGUAGUGUUUUUAUAGGAUUUACAGGGUAAAGACACAAGUCCAAUUCAGAAGACUUUGUUGCGAAUAAAGCAAAGCUGCUGUUCAACAGCAAGGUAUUUUGGUGUACUCUUCACUGAAAGCACACUGACUUUGCUGACGCAGUAAUGAACGCUGCCAAAGUCAUGCCAGUGGACCUGGCCAUGCAUAUGUCCAUGAAUCGCCGUCCUCCAGUUAGAGAACUUUUGAGAAUGUCCACACUUAGAUCCCACCAUGCUCUUACUCGACCUAGCACAUGUGAUUCUCUGCAAUCCAGAGCUGCUAGAGCCUCACAGAUUCC